UACGAACCGUCCAAACGUUAUUCGGAAUCAUUGGGCUUAAAGGGUACGUAGGCGGUGCUGUCAGUCGGGUGUGAAAGCCCUCGGCUCAACCGAGGAAUAGCGCCCGAUACUGCAGUACUUGAGGGAGACAGAGGUAAGCGGAACUGAUGGUGGAGCGGUGAAAUGCGUUGAUAUCAUCAGGAACACCGGUGGCGAAAGCGGCUUACUGGGUCUCAUCUGACGCUGAGGUACGAAAGCUAGGGGAGCGAAGGGG
rnacentral:rRNA from 1 species